GGGUUUUUUGUUUUUUGUUUUUCGUCUAAAACAGCCUACAGAAUCCUGGCCUUGGCUUUCUCACCAGACUUCUGGGAAGGUCAAAUGAGAUAAUAUAUGCAAAAGCACUCUGUCAGUGAAAAGUGCUCUGUUUCUGGUCUAAUAACCCUCCCCAACCCACUCACAGUUCUUCAUUUUCAAAUUCCUUAGUGAGCAGUUGGUUUCGUUGUCUUAAUUUGGGGCAGUAAUGAUUUCUGAGAAGCAGGUGAUUGAUAACGCGCAAAUUCAAAGCCCCUUGGGGGCUGCAUUGUAGCAUGGUGUGGGGAUGGGGAGACAGAGGGCUGGUAGGAUCCCGAAUUCCUAGUUUUUCUCUCCCUCUCCCUUGCUUCUUCAUUUUCUUCCUUCAGGCUUUCUUCCAUUUCUUUCUUCCAUCAAAUAUUUGUGGAGCUGGAACUGGGCUUCACUAUCAUAUUCCAAGGCCCUGUACUGGGAACAGACAAAGAAGCUCCUCCCAGAGACUGGAAGAAUGGUACAAGGUGUGAAAACCAAGGCUUAAAGCAUGCAAGUUAUUUGCCCGAGGUUUUUCAGCCACAAAUGAAGAAGCUGGGUCUGCUCCACACCUGUGAACCAGGCUAUUUCCACCAUAACCUGAACUCAGAUGAGCACCAGCCCAUGGAGAAUAGUCCAGAAGGCUGCCCAUAGCCUUAAAGGACAGUCAGCCUCACAAAAUGAGUGUUAUAUUCUGGAUUAUCAGAAGAGAAAUGUGAGAUGCAGGCAGGUUGAGAAAAUUGCUCCAAGUCACUUCGGGAAUGUGUGCAUGGACAAGGAAGCAGGAAGAUCCCAAGGAAAAAGAAGCAGCAUGAAAAAUGACAAGAAGACUACAACAGAAGUUUCUACGAACUUUGCACACACAGAAGAGGGUUCUUUUAGUUUUAGUCAGGAUAGGAAAAGGACAAAAUAAAAGUGAACAUUUAUUGAGCCAGGCCCUGUCUUCUACUUGUGUUAAUUCGUUUGCUCAGAUCCUCGCAGGAGCUCUGUGAG
rnacentral:lncRNA from 1 species